rnacentral:rRNA from 1 species
AGAAUCAACGCUGGCGGCGUGCCUAACACAUGCAAGUCGAACGAGAAAGUGGAGCAAUCCAUGAGUAAAGUGGCGACCGGGUGAGUAACACGUGACUAACCUACCUUCGAGUGGGGGAUAACAUCGGGAAACCGAUGCUAAUACCGCAUAACAUCGCAAGAUCAAAGCAGCAAUGCGCUGGAAGAGGGGGUCGCGGCUGAUUAGCUAGUUGGCGGGGUAACGGCCCACCAAGGCGAAGAUCGGUAGCCGGCCUGAGAGGGCGCACGGCCACACUGGAACUGAAACACGGUCCAGACUCCUACGGGAGGCAGCAGUGGGGAAUUUUUGCGCAAUGGGGGAAACCCUGACGCAGCAACGCCGCGUGGAGGAUGAAGCCCCUUGGGUGUAAACUCCUUUCGACCAGACGAUAAUGACGGUACUGGUGGAAGAAGCACCGGCUAACUCUGCGCCAGCAGCCGC